GACAGAGGGUGCAAACGUUGUUCGGAAUUACUGGGCGUAAAGCGCGUGUAGGCGGCUAUGCAAGUCGGAUGUGAAAGCCCUCGGCUCAACCGGGGAAGUGCACCCGAAACUGCAAAGCUAGAGUCUCGGAGAGGAUCGUGGAAUUCUCGGUGUAGAGGUGAAAUUCGUAGAUAUCGAGAGGAACACCAGUGGCGAAGGCGACUACCUGGCCUGUUUCUUGACGCUGAGGCGCGAAAGCUAGGGGAGCAAACGGG
rnacentral:rRNA from 1 species